CGACAUGAUAGUGCUUCAAGGCUCAAAUUCAGUGGUCUAGCAUCACAGUUUGUUAAAAUUUGCAUUUUGCGCCUAAAAAACACAUUGAAAAGCAAAACUGCGAAUCAGUUUUACACGGAGAUGGUCGCGGACGCAAGCAGGGCCUUAUGUGACAAUGUGCUUAAAUCACUGAUGCGUGGGAAGUAGAAUACGGAACUGCAACUAUUCAUUUGAAGGAGUGGUAACAGAGCAGGAAGAUGUGACACGAUGUCGAAUUGAGAAGACAAAACGGCAAAUGUGUGAAAUGCAAGGCGAGCACCCGCUAGUUGUAACACGGCCCUCUCUCCCUACCGAAGACACCAAAUAUGACGGCAUGUCGUGGGACCCGAAGGACGAAGGUGAAAUUAACAUAUCGCAAGUGACAAGUACAGGCAGCCGUGGCCCAAUGGUGGGCAGCCGUGGCCCAAUGGUUAAGAUCAUCGCCUGCCACCGUGGGGGACCUAGGUUCAAAACCCCGACUGGACCAUCCGCCAACAUCCCCCGGACUCACGGCUGUGGUGUCCUUGAGCAAGACAUUGAUACCCAGAAAUGCUCCCCGGGCGCUUCAGCUGCCCCCUGCUCCAGUGUGUUCCACUAACAUGUGUAUGUGUUCACUGUGAUGGGUUAAAUGCAGAGAACAAAUUUCAUGUGCAUGCAUGCAUGUUCAUGACAAUAAAAGAUGAUUCUUCU